AUCUACGGUCAUACAAGCCUGAACGUGCCCGAUCUUGUCUCAUCUCUGAAGCUAAGCAGGGUCCAGCCUGGUUACUACUUGGAUGGGAGAUA
ensembl:rRNA 5S_rRNA 5S ribosomal RNA